AAGGCAGUUCACUUCAGCAGUGUGAGCGUCAACUGAGUGGCUUGGUUUGGAAGUAUUGUUUGAACAAGUAUCCCAAAUCAUAAGUUUCUGAUGAUCAGCAACUGACCCAAACAGAGACUUAUGGAACAGAUGCCAGGAAACAUCUUCUACUACUACUGUAUGCCCUGUAAAGAUGGUCUUUGCAUCCACCACAUUUCCCUCCUUUGGAACAGCACUGAUGUCCCACGGGUAGAUGGUGUGAUCAUCUGAAGCACUAAAUAAUUUCUUCUCAUCCUUCAAGAUUUAACAUAUUGGAUAAUAUACAAAAGCUAAUGUUGUUCCUGAAUUAAUAAUCCUCUUAAACAAUAAGCUUAAAAGGAAACAUGCAGGAUUUAACCUUUCUAAGAGAUAGGAAAGAAAAUGUGAAUAAAUGGAGAAACAUAUUGUGAUCAGGAUUGGAAAAAUUGACUGCAAUAAAGAUGUGAAAUAUC
rnacentral:lncRNA from 1 species